rnacentral:lncRNA from 1 species
CACAAGAGCAUCAAUUCCAGCGGCACUACUCCAUGUUAGCCUCUAGAAACCCUCUGGAUGAUGAUACAGGAUGAAGCUACUCCUUCUGGGCACCACAUGAACUCCAGAUGCAGAUCCCUUUAGGUCUAGGCUCUGAGCAGGUAUAACUGUAAUGAGGUUUGAUCUCUUGCUUGAGUUUAUUCUCCACCUGGACUUGAAUCUAUAAUGAAUCAUCAGCUGGAGUGUAUGAUUCCAUCUCAGGAGGAUGCCGGCAAGAAAGGAUGGAGAGAGAAAAUUAUGGGUUCUGGAAUCAACAGAAGAAGUUUUCUCAGCUUUGCUCCUCGAGAGGUGCAGAAAUGAAGAUAUAUGGAGUUGAAGGACAGAGGUCUCGCAAGUUGCUUUUUCUCUUGCAGACACUAAACAUUUAAUCGCUAAACAUGGUGAAAACACCGUAAAAAAGAUAAAGUCAUUGCUGUAGAAGCUCAAUAAUAUGUUAUUCUGUAAA